GCGAGGGUGGUGGAACUGGUAGACACGCGAGACUUAGGAUCUCGUGCCAUCGGCAUGGGGGUUCGAGUCCCCCCCUUCGCACCA
rnacentral:tRNA from 1 species